AAACCCUUUGACUUUGGGGUAUAAUAAAUGCUCUUGUCUUUUUAAUACAUGCUAGUAAAAUGCGUACAGGUGAGUAAAUCCGUUUUAUAGAGCGGUAUGUUACCAGGCCUAUUCUUAUUUGAUUAAUAAGAAUUCCCGUGACAACAAGAUUUAUCCACACUUUCACUGAAACAACGGAAAUCAGUAAGCAGCAGUAUAGAAUAUUGUAUAAUUGAUUAUUAUCAGAUACAGAAAGACAAUAAGAGUUGUCGAAUCAGGUGCCAGCAGACGCGGUUAUACCUGAGACUCAAGUUUUACAAAACAAAAAGGCCUAAAGGGUGUCUAAGCAAUAAUUAUUAAAAAACAUGUAAUUUUGGUAUAGAAAUUAAAUUCAAUAAAACAAACUAGAAUAUCAUUUCCUAAUAAAAUGUUUUACUAAGCAGAAACACUAAAUAAUAGAAAGCCAAUGGGAUUAGAUACCCCAGUAACCUAUUACCUAAAUAUAGAUUUGUUUUCAAAACAAUACUCCGCCUGAGUAGUAUAGUCAAUUGACCGAAAUUCAAAAAGUCUGGCUGUUUGUCUUCCAAUCAGAGGAUUGUGUCGUUUAAUAUGAUAGUCCGCAGAAUACCUUACCUUUCUUAGAUUUCCAGGUGCUGCAUGGUCGUCUUCAGUUUAUAUGUAAUAUACAAAUAAUCUUAACCUUCAAAAGCUGAAGUCAGGUAGUAUGGCCCUAAUAGAAAGGGAUUUAUGCAAUACAAUUUUCUUAGAAAAAAUCAAGUAAACGGAAGGAAUUUGCAAAUUUCCAGAAGUUGAAUUUGACAGUAAUCAAAGACAAUAAAGCUUUGAUGAAUAGGUUCAGACAUUAGUACAAAUUGCCCGUCACCUUUAACAACUUACUAAUUUUAAUAAUUUAGAAGUUAAAGCAAGUCGUAACAUAGUGAGGGAAAGGGAACUUUUCCUUGAAACAAACUUGUUCUUACU
rnacentral:rRNA from 1 species